rnacentral:rRNA from 1 species
AACGAACGCUGGCGGCAUGCCUAACACAUGCAAGUCGAACGGUGCCUUCGGGCACAGUGGCGCACGGGUGAGUAACACGUGGGAACCUGCCUUUCGGUUCGGAAUAACGUUUGGAAACGAACGCUAACACCGGAUACGCCCUUCGGGGGAAAGUUUACGCCGAGAGAGGGGCCCGCGUCGGAUUAGGUAGUUGGUGAGGUAACGGCUCACCAAGCCGACGAUCCGUAGCUGGUCUGAGAGGAUGAUCAGCCACACUGGGACUGAGACACGGCCCAGACUCCUACGGGAGGCAGCAGUGGGGAAUAUUGGACAAUGGGCGCAAGCCUGAUCCAGCAAUGCCGCGUGAGUGAUGAAGGCCUUAGGGUUGUAAAGCUCUUUCGCACGCGACGAUGAUGACGGUAGCGUGAGAAGAAGCCCCGGCUAACUUCGUGCCAGCAGCCGCGGUAA